rnacentral:misc_RNA from 1 species
UCGCCAAAUUUCAGUCCCUGGUCUUUGGCCUACUCCCUGAAAUGCAGGAUCCAAAGCUUUUGUUGAGCUAGACAUUGUCUGAAAUCCUGCUUAAAACUGCUUUUAUAGAAAAUUCAGAUUAGAUAUUGUUUUGUAACUCCAGCUGUCUACUAUCUGGAAAGUGCACAGAGCACAGAGCCAAUAAAUUAAUUCUUGAAAAGGGCCAGGAAGAUUCAAUACUCCAGUAACACGCCUUGGAAGCAAUCACAAAUGCAAGUCACUUAUCCACUCUGACUGCUUUUAUGAAGUAAUACAGGUAACCAAUUGAACAUUAUCCCUACAUCUUGUAUCCUUGAUAAUCUCAGGCCAGAAACUAUAAUGCUUCUUCCAAUGAGUCUCCAUUUCUAAUCCCAGCAAUUAAUAUAUGCAACACAUAACCUAAGAGUACUGGUCCAUAGCAUAAAACCUCACAGUUAGGCUUCAGAAAGCAGAGGAAAUAUAACCACCACCCAAGGAACUACUACCCAUCCAUUCAACUUAAAUAUUUUUUUUUUUGGUUGUGUGUGUGUGUGUAUAUAUUUUGUUACUGUAAUUCAGUACGGCAUCAAAAUGAAGCCAUCACAUGUGGUGUAAGAUCUUCAAUCAGCACAGCAUUCUCCUCGUAAAAAAAUGAUUAAAUUUCUCUCAUAAAUAUUUCUUUCGAAACCCAGAUAAUUUUGCAACUGGUAGAUUAUUUCAUCCAGAUUUUCUAUAUUAGCCAUGCUGAAUACAUAAUGUUCACAAAUUACCUAUGUUUUAGGGGAAUAAUGCAGCAAUCCUUUUUUCCAACUCAAGAAAUUUUGAUGUAUAUUCACAGCAAAUAGUUAAAUGAAGAUCAUCAAUCAGGAGUUUGCUCAAAAACUUGAUGUGCCCAAAACAACUUAUAAAAAACACUUAAGCAAAUCAUUUCACUUUCCUA